CGGUAGCAGGAAGUGCUUGCACUUCGCUGACGAGUGGCGGACGGGUGAGUAAUACUUAGGAACAUGCCUUUGUGUGGGGGAUAACCAUUGGAAACGAUAGCUAAUACCGCAUAAUGUCUACGGACCAAAGGGGGCUUCGGCUCCCGCCCAGAGAGUGGCCUAAGCGAGAUUAGCUAGUUGGUGUGGUAAAGGCUCACCAAGGCGACGAUCUCUAGCUGUUCUGAGAGGAAGAUCAGCCACACUGGAACUGAGACACGGUCCAGACUCCUACGGGAGGCAGCAGUGGGGAAUAUUGCACAAUGGGGGAAACCCUGAUGCAGCCAUGCCGCGUGUGUGAAGAAGGCCUUCGGGUUGUAAAGCACUUUCAGUUGUGAGGAAAGUUUGAUGGUUAAUACCCAUUAGAUGUGACGUUAACAACAGAAGAAGGACCGGCUAACUCCGUGCCAGCAGCCGCGGUAAUACGGAGGGUCCGAGCGUUAAUCGGAAUUACUGGGCGUAAAGCGCACGCAGGCGGUUUGUUAAGCUAGAUGUGAAAGCCCCGGGCUCAACCUGGGAAUAGCAUUUAGAACUGGCAGACUAGAGUCUUGGAGAGGGGAGUGGAAUUUCUGGUGUAGCG
rnacentral:rRNA from 1 species